AUGAGAAAAGGUGUAACUUAUCUCAGACAUACAGAAAUGAAAAUAAAGCUAUGCACAGAGAAAAGCACUAUAAUCCAUCCAUCAUUGUUGGUUCACCAUUCUAAAGGAAAGACUCAUAGUGGUGCAUCUAGGAGGAAGGGAUCUAGAGACAGCGAUGGGCAAAACAAUCCUGUGGAGGCAGCAAGAGGCAGUUCUCGACAAAUCACUAUUAAGCGCAAGGGUCCAAUGGAAGAAUUUGGUGAAGAACAAGGUCUCCAUCAUUUGGCGUCAAGGAAGGGAAGACCAUGUCAUCAUUUGGCCAGUCCAGGUCCCCAUGCCCCUGUAUCUUCCCUCGAAGCCGGGUUCCGCGAGCUAAGGUUGCAGGGGAGAAUGAACGUGCAAGUUUGCAGCAUCAAAUGUUUUUCUACAUUUGAUGGGUAG
rnacentral:rRNA from 1 species